ensembl:misc_RNA Metazoa_SRP Metazoan signal recognition particle RNA
GCCGGGUGUGGUGGCGCACACCUGUAAUCCCAGCACUUUGGGAGGCCGAGAUGGGAGGUUCAGCUGAGGUCAGGAGUUUGAGACCAGCCUGGCCAACAUGGUGAAACCCCGUCUCUA